AAAAACAUAGCCCCUUGAACAUAUAAAGGGUCCCGCCUGCCCAGUGACCUCAAAGGUUAAACGGCCGCGGUAUCUUGACCGUGCAAAGGUAGCAUAAUCACCUGUCUUUUAAAUGGAGACCUGUAUGAACGGCAAAACCUUUUCAAACUGUCUCCCUCCCUAACCUUUUAAACUCCUUUUCACGCGAAGAAGCGUGAAUACAUCAGAAAGACGAGAAGACCCUGUCGAGCUUCAGCCAAUAAGUGAGCUAACAAAACCUAUGUGUUAACAUCACCCAAAGGCUUUGGUUGGGGUAACCAUGGAGAACAUUAAUCCUCCAGAACAAGCAGACGAACUCUCUUCCCUACUAAACGAACUAAAGAACCAGGAACUGGUAAUCGGAAAAAGUUACCGCAGGGAUAACAGCGUCAUCCCCUUUAAGAGUCCUUAUUGACAAGGGGGUUUGCGACCUCGAUGUUGGAUUGGGGCUCCCUUAGGGUGCAGAAGCUCUAAACGGUUAGACUGUUCGUCUAUUAAAGCCCUACAUGAUCUGA
rnacentral:rRNA from 1 species